UACGGAGGGAGCUAGCGUUGUUCGGAAUUACUGGGCGUAAAGCGCACGUAGGCGGCUUUGUAAGUUAGAGGUGAAAGCCCGGAGCUCAACUCCGGAAUUGCCUUUAAGACUGCAUCGCUUGAAUCCAGGAGAGGUGAGUGGAAUUCCGAGUGUAGAGGUGAAAUUCGUAGAUAUUCGGAAGAACACCAGUGGCGAAGGCGCCACUCUGGGCCGAAACUGACGCUGAGGAGCGAAAGCAUGGGUAGCAAACAGG
rnacentral:rRNA from 1 species